AGGUUAGUGAGCUCAGUGGAUAAGAGCACGAGACUCUCAAUCUCAGGGCCAUGGGUUUGAGCCCAUGUUGGGCAA